UAGACAGGACCAAAAAUAGCUUCUCUCUC
rnacentral:piRNA from 1 species